CAAGUCGAGCGGACAGAUGGGAGCUUGCUCCCUGAUGUUAGCGGCGGACGGGUGAGUAACACGUGGGUAACCUGCCUGUAAGACUGGGAUAACUCCGGGAAACCGGGGCUAAUACCGGAUGGUUGUUUGAACCGCAUGGUUCAAACAUAAAAGGUGGCUUCGGCUACCACUUACAGAUGGACCCGCGGCGCAUUAGCUAGUUGGUGAGGUAACGGCUCACCAAGGCAACGAUGCGUAGCCGACCUGAGAGGGUGAUCGGCCACACUGGGACUGAGACACGGCCCAGACUCCUACGGGAGGCAGCAGUAGGGAAUCUUCCGCAAUGGACGAAAGUCUGACGGAGCAACGCCGCGUGAGUGAUGAAGGUUUUCGGAUCGUAAAGCUCUGUUGUUAGGGAAGAACAAGUACCGUUCGAAUAGGGCGGUACCUUGACGGUACCUAACCAGAAAGCCACGGCUAACUACGUGCCAGCAGCCGCGGUAAUACGUAGGUGGCAAGCGUUGUCCGGAAUUAUUGGGCGUAAAGGGCUCGCAGGCGGUUUCUUAAGUCUGAUGUGAAAGCCCCCGGCUCAACCGGGGAGGGUCAUUGGAAACUGGGGAACUUGAGUGCAGAAGAGGAGAGUGGAAUUCCACGUGUAGCGGUGAAAUGCGUAGAGAUGUGGAGGAACACCAGUGGCGAAGGCGACUCUCUGGUCUGUAACUGACGCUGAGGAGCGAAAGCGUGGGGAGCGAACAGGAUUAGAUACCCUGGUAGUCCACGCCGUAAACGAUGAGUGCUAAGUGUUAGGGGGUUUCCGCCCCUUAGUGCUGCAGCUAACGCAUUAAGCACUCCGCCUGGGGAGUACGGUCGCAAGACUGAAACUCAAAGGAAUUGACGGGGGCUCGCACAAGCGGUGGAGCAUGUGGUUUAA
rnacentral:rRNA from 1 species